rnacentral:rRNA from 1 species
GAUGGACGCUGGCGGCGUGCCUAAUACAUGCAAGUAGAACGCUGAAGGAAGGAGCUUGCUCUUUCCGGAUGAGUUGCGAACGGGUGAGUAACGCGUAGGUAACCUGCCUGGUAGCGGGGGAUAACUAUUGGAAACGAUAGCUAAUACCGCAUAACAGUAGAUGUUGCAUGACAACUAUUUGAAAGGGGCAAUUGCUCCACUACCAGAUGGACCUGCGUUGUAUUAGCUAGUUGGUGAGGUAACGGCUCACCAAGGCGACGAUACAUAGCCGACCUGAGAGGGUGAUCGGCCACACUGGGACUGAGACACGGCCCAGACUCCUACGGGAGGCAGCAGUAGGGAAUCUUCGGCAAUGGACGGAAGUCUGACCGAGCAACGCCGCGUGAGUGAAGAAGGUUUUCGGAUCGUAAAGCUCUGUUGUAAGAGAAGAAUGAGUGUGAGAGUGGAAAGUUCACACUGUGACGGUAUCUUACCAGAAAGGGACGGCUAACUACGUG